rnacentral:rRNA from 1 species
AACGAACGCUGGCGGCAUGCCUAACACAUGCAAGUCGAACGAUUGCCUUCGGGUGAUAGUGGCGCACGGGUGCGUAACGCGUGGGAAUCUGCCCUUAGGUUCGGAAUAACAGCUGGAAACGGCUGCUAAUACCGGAUGAUAUCGCGAGAUCAAAGAUUUAUCGCCUGAGGAUGAGCCCGCGUUGGAUUAGGUAGUUGGUGGGGUAAAGGCCUACCAAGCCGACGAUCCAUAGCUGGUCUGAGAGGAUGAUCAGCCACACUGGGACUGAGACACGGCCCAGACUCCUACGGGAGGCAGCAGUGGGGAAUAUUGGACAAUGGGCGCAAGCCUGAUCCAGCAAUGCCGCGUGAGUGAUGAAGGCCCUAGGGUUGUAAAGCUCUUUUGCCCGGGAAGAUAAUGACUGUACCGGGAGAAUAAGCCCCGGCUAACUCCGUG